rnacentral:rRNA from 1 species
UGAGGAAUCUUCCACAAUGGACGAAAGUCUGAUGGAGCAACGCCGCGUGCAGGAUGACGGCCUUCGGGUUGUAAACUGCUUUUCUGAAGGAAGAUUAUGACGGUACUUCAGGAAUAAGGACCGGCUAACUACGUGCCAGCAGCCGCGGUAAUACGUAGGGUCCAAGCGUUAUCCGGAAUCACUGGGCGUAAAGCGUGCGUAGGCGGGAGCUUAAGUGCAAUGCGAAAUCUCGUGGCUCAACCAUGUAGACUGUAUUGCAUACUGGGUACCUUGAGGAUGGCAGAGGCUAGUGGAAUUACUGGUGUAGCAGUGAAAUGCGUAGAUAUCAGUAGGAACACCAAUGGCGAAGGCAGCUAGCUGGGCCAUUUCUGACGCUAAGGCACGAAAGCGUGGGGAGCGAACGGGAUUAGAUACCCCCGUAGUCC